rfam:Myotis davidii contig74388, whole genome shotgun sequence.
GGUGGUUCUCGGUGAUGCACCCCAGAAUCGAGCCCCCUCCUCUCUGGUUCCAGGUGAGUCACCUGAGAACUGGA